CUGCACACCAGUAGACCUUAUCUGGUUGUUCUAAUAGCCAGGUGAGGGGGAUGGUGCAUGCUACAGCAACCUGGGGCUGCUGCAGGGCAUGCCCAGCCUGGAUGUGGCUGACUGAACUGCAAUGCUCCCACAUAU
rnacentral:snoRNA from 1 species